rnacentral:rRNA from 1 species
ACAGCAGUCGCCACGGUAAUACGUAGGGUGCAAGCGUUAAUCGGAAUUACUGGGCGUAAAGCGUGCGCAGGCGGUUAUAUAAGACAGAUGUGAAAUCCCCGGGCUCAACCUGGGAACUGCAUUUGUGACUGUAUAGCUAGAGUACGGCAGAGGGGGAUGGAAUUCCGCGUGUAGCAGUGAAAUGCGUAGAUAUGCGGAGGAACACCGAUGGCGAAGGCAACCCCCUGGGCCUGUACUGACGCUCAUGCACGAAAGCGUGGGGAGCAAACAGGAUUAGAUACCCGAGUAGUCCCUGUCUCUUAUAU